UGGGCUAAUUGCUAGAGGAAAAACCCUUCAGGCCUUAUGCCAACACCGUAAUCGUCGCCCGGGAUGGAAUCUAUCCCUCGUCCCAUAACGGAAUAGAGAUCACUAGGUAAGUACAAAACCAUCGAACAUACAUUUAAUUGAAAAGCAUCUUCAUAGUAUAAAGUCAUUCAUCAUCUAUACUACAAAGAAGUGUUCGAAACAUGUUCCAAAUAUUAUAUCGUCAUCCAUCAGAUAUCCUAUAAAGAACAUGGAUUAUAGGAAAAAUAGUAAUAAUUCCAACUAGCCUCAAUAAGCAUGUUAUCUCAUAAAACGUUUCAUAUAACAUAAUCAUUAAAUCAUGUUUUUCAUAUAUGCAUUUCUACUAUUAAAACAUGCAUUUCUACUAUUAAAUCAUGCUUUUGUUAAAAUUCAAAGUUUUGAAACUCUUUUAAUUUGUUUUCUUUAAUUUGUAAUACAUGAGGCCUUUUUGGAGUAUUUCAAUCUUUUGUUUCAGUAAGUUAAUCUCCUUUUUCGCAUUGUAUAUACCCAUACAAAACAUAAGGGGAUUCAGCUACAUGAACAUGAGUGGUUAGCUAGUUAACACUUGAGUUUACUGAACUCUUUUGUAAGGCCAAACAACAUUAGACACCUAAUUACAGGAAUCUCGAAUAUACAAUUAAAUAUUAACUAAAGGUUUGUUUGAAAGUUGAAACACCCCAACCCCCUUUUAUAUUUUAAAAAUAGUUUUAGUACUUAAUUGGUGAGCCAUGGGGCCCACCUUGUUUUAUUUUUGUUUUUUCCGGUCUCCCACUCUCCUCUCUCAGUUCUCUCUUCUCCUUCACCUCUCCCGUAACUUUCUCUCCCUUACAUUCUCUCAGCUCUCUCUAUCUCAACCCCUCCGAGGGCUUUUCUUACCAAAAAACAUCACCAUCAUCUUUAUCUCGUCUCUACGAACUCAACCAUAGUCUUGGCAUCUUGGAAGUCGAACCAUAAAGCCCCGUACACGAGCUCCGACGCAGACCGCCACUUUCGAGGCAAUGUUCGGUCAAACCACAGUGAGUUAGCUAGAGUACAAUGUAUCAAUCUCUUCCUCUCACUGAGAACUACAACUUUCCUUUUUGUUUCACUCAAUUUCGUUGAGUAUUGAAGAAGUUAUACUCAUUUGAAUCUUACCUCGUUUCCGGCGACCUCCGAGGCUUUAGAG
rnacentral:lncRNA from 1 species